GACAGAGGGUGCAAACGUUGCUCGGAAUCACUGGGCGUAAAGGGCGUGUAGGCGGGAAGGAAAGUCAGAUGUGAAAUCCCCAGGCUCAACCUGGGAACUGCAUUUGAAACUCCCUUUCUUGAGUACCGGAGAGGAAAGUGGAAUUCCUGGUGUAGAGGUGAAAUUCGUAGAUAUCAGGAGGAACACCAGUGGCGAAGGCGGCUUUCUGGACGGUAACUGACGCUGAGACGCGAAAGCGUGGGAGCAAACAGG
rnacentral:rRNA from 1 species